GAUGAACGCUAGCUACAGGCUUAACACAUGCAAGUCGAGGGGCAGCAUGAACUUAGCUUGCUAAGUUUGAUGGCGACCGGCGCACGGGUGAGUAACACGUAUCCAACCUGCCGAUGACUCGGGGAUAGCCUUUCGAAAGAAAGAUUAAUACCCGAUGGCAUAGUUCUUCCGCAUGGUGGAACUAUUAAAGAAUUUCGGUCAUCGAUGGGGAUGCGUUCCAUUAGGUUGUUGGCGGGGUAACGGCCCACCAAGCCUUCGAUGGAUAGGGGGUUCUGAGAGGAAGGUCCCCCCACAUUGGAACUGAGACACGGUCCAAACUCUUACGGGAGGCAGCAGUGAGGAAUAUUGGUCAAUGGACGAGAGUCUGAACCAGCCAAGUAGCGUGAAGGAUGACUGCCCUAUGGGUUGUAAACUUCUUUUAUAAGGGAAUAAAGUGGGAGUCGUGACUCUUUUGCAUGUACCUUAUGAAUAAGGACCGGCUAAUUCCGUG
rnacentral:rRNA from 1 species